rnacentral:rRNA from 1 species
UACGUAGGGUGCAAGCGUUAAUCGGAAUUACUGGGCGUAAAGCGUGCGCAGGCGGUUUUGUAAGUCUGUCGUGAAAUCCCCGGGCUUAACCUGGGAAUGGCGAUGGAGACUGCAAGGCUAGAGUUUGGCAGAGGGGGGUAGAAUUCCACGUGUAGCAGUGAAAUGCGUAGAGAUGCGGAGGAACACCGAUGGCGAAGGCAGCCCCCUGGGUCAAAACUGACGCUCAUGCACGAAAGCGUGGGGAGCAAACAGG